GGGCCGAGUAGGUCAUCGAGGUUGACUCAACCAUGAUUGUUGGCUAAAUUCAGAGGUAGUCGAGACUCAGCUAUGCACCUACUCUUUUGCAAUAUUUGGAUGCUGUUAUAUGGAUAUGCUUCUAUCAACAUUAAACAUAUUUAUCAGGAGGUGAAUAGUAUUGCUGACUGGAUCACCUUAUUUGUUGCAAAUCAUAUCAAGGAUGUUUUGUGGAUUGAUAUGGGAUGGCUU
rnacentral:lncRNA from 1 species